ensembl:snRNA U6 U6 spliceosomal RNA
AUGCUCACUUUAGCAGUACAUACACUAAAAUGGGAGUGGUAGAGAAAAGAGUUGUAGCGUCCCUGAGCAGGGAUGACAGGCAAAUUUGUGAAGGCUUGCAUAUUUUC